rnacentral:rRNA from 1 species
AGUUCGGACUGGAGUCUGCAACCCGACUCCACGAAGUUGGAUUCGCUAGUAAUCGCGCAUCAGCCAUGGCGCGGUAAAUACGUUCCCGGGCCUUGUACACACCGCCCGUCAAGCCAUGGGAGCCGGGGGCGCCUGAAGUCCGGGACCGCGAGGACCGGCCUAGGGCGAAACUGGUGACUGGGGCUAAGUCGUAACAAGGUAUC